rnacentral:tRNA from 1 species
AAUCAGUUAGCUCACUUGGUUAGAGCAUGGUGCUAAUAACACCAAGGCUGUGGGUUAGAUCCCUGCGUAGACUA